GCGUGGCGUCCUCAGCACGAAUGGAUCACGGCGACGGCGCCCUCAACUCCUUCUAUCACCACCACCACCACAAUCCCAGCUCCUCCGCAGCUUCCUCCGCGGCCGUCAGCGGCAUGUUCUCCUCCGCCGCUGAUGUCCUUUUCCCCCAUGCCGUCAGCGGCAGGGCCUCCGCUGCUCCCGCCCCUGUCCCUACCGAGCCGGUGCGGCGGAAGCGGGGC
rnacentral:misc_RNA from 1 species